UACGAUGGUAUAGGAUUCUUGACAUCUCAGAAAUUGGCAAAUGCUACAAAUCAGGGCUUCCUGCCUCUCCUCUAAAGCUCAUUUACCAGGACA